GACGAACGCUGGCGGCGUGCUUAACACAUGCAAGUCGAACGAUGAAGAAAAGAAUCGAAGCUUCGGCAGAAAUUCAUUUCGGAUUAGUGGCAGACGGGUGAGUAACGCGUGAGCAACCUACCUCUUACAAAGGGAUAGCCUCGGGAAACCGGGAUUAAUACCAUAUAACAUUGCGACGAAGCAUUUCGAUGCAAUCAAAGCUACGGCGGGAAGAGAUGGGCUCGCGUCGCAUUAACCGGGUGGUGAGGUAACGGCUCACCAUAGUGACGAUGGGUAACCGGGCGGAGAGGGUGCCCGGUCACGCUGGAGCUGCGGCCCGGUCCCGUAUCCUACGGGACGCAGCAGUGGGGAAUAUUGCACGAUGGAGCGAACUCUGAUGCAGCGGCGCCGCGUGAGUGAUGAAGGGAUUCGUUUCGUAAAUCUCUGUUCUAUGGGAAGAAAAUGACUGUACCAUAGGAGAAAGCUCCGGCUAACUACGUG
rnacentral:rRNA from 1 species